UACGAAGGGGGCUAGCGUUGCUCGGAAUCACUGGGCGUAAAGCGCACGUAGGCGGAUUCUUAAGUCGGUGGUGAAAGCCUGGAGCUCAACUCCAGAACUGCCUUCGAUACUGAGAGUCUUGAGUCCGGGAGAGGUGAGUGGAACUGCGAGUGUAGAGGUGAAAUUCGUAGAUAUUCGCAAGAACACCAGUGGCGAAGGCGGCUCACUGGCCCGGUACUGACGCUGAGGUGCGAAAGCGUGGGGGAGCAAACAGG
rnacentral:rRNA from 1 species